UUCCAGAGGAAGGCUCGUCCGCUCUGGGUUAGUCGGGACCUAAGCCGAGGCCGAUAGGCGUAGGCGAUGGAUAACAGGUAGAUAUUCCUGUACCACCUAUGAUUGUUUGAACGAUGGGGGGACGCAGUAGGAUAGGCGAAGCGUGCUGUUGGAGUGCACGUCCAAGCAACAAGACUGAGUGUUAGGCAAAUCCGGUACUCUUAAGGUCAAGUUGUGAUGGGGAGAGGAAAUUUUUUUCCUCGAGUCGUUGAUUUCRCACUGCCAAAGAAAAGCCUCUAGCUAGAAUUUUGGUGCCCGUACCGCAAACCGACACAGGUAGUCAAGAUGAGAAUUCUAAGGUGAGCGAGCGAACUCUCGUUAAGGAACUCGGCAAAAUGACCCCGUAACUUCGGGAGAAGGGGUGCUCUUUAGGGUUAACGCCCAGGAGAGCCGCAGUGAAUAGGCCCAAGCGACUGUUUAUCAAA
rnacentral:rRNA from 1 species